GCAGCAGCAGCAGCAGGAAGAAGCAGCUGGUUCUCUUCUCAGCAACCUUACCCCCUUACCUCUCUUUGACCUCCUUUAAUCUCCUCCACAGCCUGGCCCUUGACUUCACAGAUUCCUCUUACCUUUCUUCACCUGAAAUGGCCUGCCCUUUACUGGGGUCUCCUUUACCCCUCCUCUCUGGUCCCAUCCCUUCUGCGGGCGAACCCCAGCAUUCCUCCACGGCUCGGCCUGGUCAGCUUGAACCACAUUUUGUCGGCUUGCCCUGGGCAAAGAGGGAGUUUAUGGUGGAAAGUGGGUCCAAGACUACCCCUGGGUUAGACCCCUGCCUUGCCCCAUCCGCUCCUCCCAAGCCCUGGUUGCGGCGCUUCCUGGGCGGAUGGUUUGGACUUGCUGCUGCAGCUGCGGUUCUGCUGUGUCAUGCAAGAAGGAGGCGGCGGCGGCGGCCGGAGCUGGAGGGGGAGGAGGGGAGGAACCUGAUCCUCGGUAGCGAAGGGCUGGAGGCAAACACCGAGCUCCCCCUGAGCCGCCUGGGAGCAGGGAGGGUUCUGCUACCCUGAGGGGCCCUCCCCGCGGGGCAGAGGGGACCAGCCCAACAUGGCUUCCAACACAGAGACCAGAAGGACCCAAUAAGAGACCGAAGACACGACUGAUAAUACAGAAAGGAGGGUGAUGCUGUGUGCAAGGCAGAUACAAGAUGGUUUUUCCAUAAGAGGAAGUGAUCAUGGCAACCAUGACCUUCUCUGACCUUCUCUCUUCCAAGAGGCUGUUGGGAAGGUGGGAUGACCUAGGAUUGACCUUGGACUUGACAUCACAGAAGCCAUUUCAACCUUCACAGGGUUUCCUCAGCAGUGCCCCGGAGCAGGGACCGCGCCAGCCAGCAGAAACAGCUAGUUGUUGUCUGCAGUGAAGAAUAAUUGGAAGCAUGGUGCCUGUUUCUUUUCCUGUGGGAGGAAGUCACAGCAUCUACUUCUGAAUCUGUGCUUGCCUUGAGGAAAAACGGCAUGGCACAGGAAUGUGGACGCUUUCAACCAGAGGAUUCUGUACGACGGUGUCGGCACACAAGGAGUGUUCCACUGACUGACCUCUUUUUGUUUUCAAAUGAAGAGGAGCCAAGAAUAGGACAGCUUGGGAAGCUCAUCCUCGUCUACGGCCAAACGUUGGUUUCUCAUUUCUAGAAGAUGAAAGAUGUGAUGACUCAGGAAAAACUGGAAUCUUAGUAACUGUGGUGGGCAUUGAGCCUUGCCGUCCACAAGAGAAAGCUUGCUGCUCGAGAUGUGAGUCUUCAGAUGUUCCUGCCGCCAUAUCUGACAGCUGCUGCCAAGAUUCCCUGGUGGGAUGGACUCUUAUACCUCAACAACCAGAAGCCCAAGUAAACUCUUCUAUAAAUUGAAUGACUCAUGCUUAAAAAAAAAAACAAAAAACAAACUAUCUUUAUUUUGUGUGCAUUGGUGUUUUGCCUACAUAUAUGUCUGUGUGAGAGUGUCAGAUUCCUUGGAACUGUAGCUACAGAUAGUUGUGAGCCACCAUGUGGGUGCUGGGACUUGAACCCCAGUCCUCUAGAAGAGCAGCUGGUAGGUACUCUUAACCACUGGACCAUCCCUCUAGACCCUGAUCAUGGUGUUUUAACUACAGCAAAAGAAAAGUAAUUAGCACAAUCAGGUUAGCCAGAGGGCACACCUGUGACAGAUUUUUCCUAAGUGCAUUCAUCAGGGGGAGGCCCACCCUGGAUGGGGGCAGCACCCUUCCUUGGGUUUGGGUCUUAGAAAGAAUAAACACAGAGAGGGAGCUGAGCACAAGCCAGCAAGCACAAGCUAAGCAAGCACUGUCCAGUCUUCCUCUGCUUUGACUGAGGAUGUGACGUGUCUAGCUGCUUCAGGUUUCUGCCUCGAAUCCCCUGCAGUCAUAGACUAUAACCUGGAAUUGUGAGCCAAAAGAAAAACAAAAGAAAACAAAAUCCAUUUUCUCCCCAUAUGUUGCUUUUUGGUCAAAGCAUUUGAUCCCAGUAACAGAAAAGAAAUGAGGACAGGCAAGAAGAGGCCAUACCACAGAGCCAGGAGCAGGUUGUAGUGCCAAGUUGCAGAGGCCGGGGAGGAGCAUAGGUGCAGAGCAGCCGCUGUCAGAAUGUUCAGGGAAAAGGAGAAGAGAGGAUGUGUCAGGGAAGUGAGCUGGCUCAGUCCAUAACAGCAUGGUCUUGCUGUCUUUUACAGGGUCUGAAGUCUACCUUAGUGCAGUGGGAGCCACUAACUGUCCUAGUAUGAAGGAAGGAUAUUGAUGUUUUUUGGGCAUGUAAGUGUGUGUGUGUGUGUGUGUGUGUGUGUGUCCCCAUACUCUAGGGACUGAGCCUCCUCACCCAUGUACCACACAGCUUCAGUCCCAGUCCCAUAUUUUGUUUUCAAUCAAACUUUAUACAAAUGUUUCUCAAGAAAAUUAUAAGUUACUUCUUUUAUUUCUCAUUAAUAAUAUUUUGGGGUUUUUAUUUAAUAAAUUUUAAAGCAAGAUGAGCAUUUCAUAAAAGAAAUCAGCUUCAUCCUGACUCAGACUUUCCCACCAGACAUAACCAGAAUCCUAGAGGAAGUUACAAGUUAGUUAAAGUUAGGACUCUGUUCCUAGUCAAUUCCGUUUCUAGAACACCUAACACAUGGUGUCCAGCCCAAGUACAAAACAUCUCAGAGUUCUUGGAGUACUCAAGUUAUAUUCCUUCUGCAUUGCAUUAUAUGGGAAUUAAUACACACAAAAGAAAAAAAUCUGAUGAGUGUAUUCAAGUUUUGACAUUUGGGCUCUGAUAUCUUAUUUUUAACUUAUUUUAAUUGGCAUGUCAUAACUGUUUAUGUUUAUAGGGUAGAGUGUGAUGAUUCAGUCCAUACAUGCAAUGUGCACACAUCACAUGAUCCAUACAUGCAGUGUGCACACAUCAAGUCAGCAGGAUUGGCCUUUCCGUCUUCUUGGACAUCUGUCAUGUCUUUGUGUCUGGAGCCUGCAAAGGCCUCUCUUCUAGCUCUUUGUAAGUGUGGAGUAAGUUGUACAAACUGUAUUCACCCUGUUAUGUUAUCAUUGCUUUCUAGCCCGUAUCUGUUAUUCAGUCUCCCUCUGUCCUACAUCUCCUGACCUCCAAAGCCUCUUUUUAUGAUAUGCUAUUAUGAUAUGUUUCCAGAAAGUGACUGCACGAUGGAAAAUGGGUGCCCAGUAGUCCUAGGGCCAGUGUGGAGGAAUUACAGUACCUCGAAAAGGAAAUGAUAUGGGUCCAGGCUUGCCAGGGGCAGCAGGGAUGCAGAGAGGAGGGUCUGAGAAGCACUCCCGGGAAGGCCAGAGGCAUUCGGAUGACUCCAGGCUUUUGUGGGUGGAGGUGAGGGAUAAUGGCAAGGAAGGAAGACCUGUUGGGAGGAGCCUAGGGCAGAGACCCUUCCAUUCCCCCUGAGGACCACCUAUAUGUCACUGGAGCUGGGGACUUCGCCAUGCAAUGCAGAAAGGUUUCACGCUGAGGUCAGACCCUGGCAGCUAGAGAGGAUGGGGCUCUUAACACCUGCCAGAUUGUUAAGACCGAAUCUGUGUGGAACCCAGGCUGCAAAUGAGAGGUCUUCAGUACCUGCAGCCAAGCAGGGCCUGACAAGCUGUUUCCAUGGAGACACAGAGCUGUGUGCAGGCGUAGGCGUGUUGAUCCAUUCCAGAGCCUUGGGUCACAAGGCUGUAUCGAGCUAACAGGAAAAAGGUGUUAUCGAUCAGGAAAAGAUGCCCAAAGUAUUGGCAGCUAAUUGAGGUUUUGUUGUCAUAAUUCUGGAUUAAGUUUAACAAAUCAGGAUCCUGCUAGCUCCCACUUAGCAAGAGCACAAGGAAGCAGACACCAAUUCAGGCUAACUCUAAAUAUGCAGACACCCAGCCCAAGUAGUUCUGGAUCCUUGAGCUCUCAAGUAGCUCCGUAUCUCUUCCGACUGACAGAGACACAGACAGCAGCUGGGGGAGCUAAUCUCCUUUUCAUUUGUCAUAGGAAUGGCAAAAAUAUUCAGGAAACCUAAGCCUGGCUCUGGAAAAAAAUUCAGAUGCUGGCAGAGCCCCAAACUGGAUAUUGGGAAGCAUUUUGAAAAUUACUGUUCACAGAGAGCACAGAGGGAAGCUUCCAGAGCUUAGGAGAUGGGGGUCAGGUGGUGAGUGACUCAGAGCUUGCUGCAGCCACGUGACAUUCUAUCUCAAAGCAAACACUAGCAAAAAGGAAGCCAGCAGCAAUGACACUCACAUUUGUGGUGUGUGUGUGUGUUAAAAUAGACAUAGCAUGAAGUUUACCUUUGGAUAUUUUGGGGGGGGGGUUGUUUGUUUGUUUGUUUGUUUGUUUGUUUGUUUCCAGGCAGAGUUUCUCUGUGUAACAGCCCCCACCUGUCCAGCAACUCACUCUGUAGAUCAGGCUGGCCUCAAAAUAAGAGAUCUGCCUUCGUUUGCUUCCCCAGUAUAGGGAUUUAAGGUGUGUGUCAUCACUGGACAUUUUUAAAUAUACAAUUUAAUGGCAUAAAGAUCACACAUGAUCUUGGACUGGGGGUGUAGGCCAUUGGCACAGCAUGAGCUUGGAAUAUGUCAGCAGUGGGGUCCGAGUGGCACAGUUUUUAAAAAGUAUGCUUUCAAUUUUGUGCAUCCUUCAUUAUUAUUACUUCCAAAAUUUUAUUUUGGUUAAGUAACAACUCCCCAUUAGACUAUACAUCAGGUCAUUUUGUGUUACUAUAACAAAAUGCUGGAGGCAGGAUACUCUGUAUUAUUUAGCUCAGGAGUCUAGUCACUCAAGAGCAUGAUACUGGCAUGUGCUUGGUCUGUUGGACCUCAUUGUAGAUGGCUUCACAACGGUGGAUGUGCAUGUAGAGGAGGUCACAUGGCAAGGUGGGAUUCAGUAAAGCAGCAUCAAUCUGCUUACAUGGGAAAUGUCCCCAAGCUCUGAUUAUUUGUUGCUAGGCCCUACCACCUCAUUACCACCACACUGGGGACCAAGCCUCCUACAGGGGACAACAGAUUAUAUAGCAUGCCCUAAAGAUAUUGAACAGUAUGGUCUUCCUGCAGAGUUUUCUGCUGGCAGAAUGAUGGUUAGUGUGACUGUUAAUCUUAAUUGUCAGCUUGGUGGGAUUUAGAAUCAGCCUGGCUCUGUCAGUGAGAGGUUAUCUAGAUCAGCUUUACUGAGAGUGGAAGAUUCACCCUCAAGGCAGGUGAUACCACCCCAGGAGCUGGCAUCAUCUGAGACUAAACACAGUAUCCAUCUGUCUCUGCAUUCUGACUGUGGGUGCAGUGUGACCGCCCACCUCAAGCACCUGCUGCUGUGCCUUCCCAUCCUUGUGGACUGUGUCCUUUAGAACUGUAAGCCCUUCCUUCAUUAAGUUGCCUGUCAACGUUUUGUCACAGUAAUGAGAUAACUAAUACAGUUAGGUCACUGUUGGUGAGAAAACUGGGUUAAGCUUGUUUUGGUCAGUUGCUAUUAUUUCAGACAUGGGGCGACAGGUGUUCUCAUAAAGGGCGAACUUGAUAAACCUGAUCUCAGGAGGAGAUUGAUUUUAACUCUUAUGGAACCGACUCCUUUUGUCUGCAAGGUAUUUGAAGGGCUGUAAGCAAUGCUAAAAAGUCAGUAUAAAUUAUGUCAAGGCCAUGGGGUCUUUGCAGAGUCUUGUUAAAGGAAAACUAAGUUCCAAAAUUAGUAGGACAUAAUCGUGGGAGGAUCUAGAAACCAGCUUCAGUUUAAAUGAGAAAAUAAUGUUAGUGCUUGAGAGAGACGACACAUUUUUAUACUUUAAAUUUAUUCUUCAAGAAUUUCAUACAUGUAUACAAUGUUUUGAAUAUAUCCAUCCCAGUCCCUGCCCUCCAAAUCUCCUCAGGGCUCCCCAACAGUUCCUCCUGCUGACUAAACAUCUUCCUCUUGGUUUUUUAAUAACCCACGGAGUCGAGUUACUGUUGCUCUUAUGCAUCUAUAUAUGAAGACCAGAACACAGCAAAUUGUGUAUCUUAUCACCAUAGAAAAAUUGACAGUUGCAUUAAGUAAUUCAUGUUUACCAGUUCAAUUUGGCUGUUUUGUAAUGUGUAUAUAUUACAAAGAUUAUAUUCCACGUAAUAAAUAUUUGUAAUUAUUUGUUUGGUACUAAAUAUAUUUUAUGUUAAAUAUUUUG
rnacentral:lncRNA from 1 species